UGGAAAGAUGAAUCAAAGAAGGUAAUAAUCCUGUAGUCGAAAAUGUUGUCUCUCUUGAGUGGAUCCUGAGUACGACGGAGCACGUGAAAUUCCGUCGGAAUCUGGGAGGACCAUCUCCUAAGGCUAAAUACUCUCUAGUGACCGAUAGUGAACCAGUACCGUGAGGGAAAGGUGAAAAGCACCCCGGAAGGGGAGUGAAAUAGAACCUGAAACCGUGUGCUUACAAGUAGUCAGAGCCCGUUAAUGGGUGAUGGCGUGCCUUUUGUAGAAUGAACCGGCGAGUUACGAUUUGAUGCAAGGUUAAGCAGUAAAUGUGGAGCCGUAGCGAAAGCGAGUCUGAAUAGGGCGUUUAGUAUUUGGUCGUAGACCCGAAACCAGGUGAUCUACCCUUGGUCAGGUUGAAGUUCAGGUAACACUGAAUGGAGGACCGAACCGACUUACGUUGAAAAGUGAGCGGAUGAACUGAGGGUAGCGGAGAAAUUCCAAUCGAACCUGGAGAUAGCUGGUUCUCUCCGAAAUAGCUUUAGGGCUAGCCUCAAGUGAUGAUUAUUGGAGGUAGAGCACUGUUUGGACGAGGGGCCCCUCUCGGGUUACCGAAUUCAGACAAACUCCGAAUGCCAAUUAAUUUAACUUGGGAGUCAGAACAUGGGUGAUAAGGUCCGUGUUCGAAAGGGAAACAGCCCAGACCACCAGCUAAGGUCCCAAAAUAUAUGUUAAGUGGAAAAGGAUGUGGCGUUGCCCAGACAACUAGGAUGUUGGCUUAGAAGCAGCCAUCAUUUAAAGAGUGCGUAAUAGCUCACUAGUCGAGUGACACUGCGCCGAAAAUGUACCGGGGCUAAACAUAUUACCGAAGCUGUGGAUUGUCCUUUGGACAAUGGUAGGAGAGCGUUCUAAGGGCGUUGAAGCAUGAUCGUAAGGACAUGUGGAGCGCUUAGAAGUGAGAAUGCCGGUGUGAGUAGCGAAAGACGGGUGAGAAUCCCGUCCACCGAUUGACUAAGGUUUCCAGAGGAAGGCUCGUCCGCUCUGGGUUAGUCGGGUCCUAAGCUGAGGCCGACAGGCGUAGGCGAUGGAUAACAGGUUGAUAUUCCUGUACCACCUAUAAUCGUUUUAAUCGAUGGGGGGACGCAGUAGGAUAGGCGAAGCGUGCGAUUGGAUUGCACGUCUAAGCAGUAAGGCUGAGUAUUAGGCAAAUCCGGUACUCGUUAAGGCUGAGCUGUGAUGGGGAGAAGACAUUGUGUCUUCGAGUCGUUGAUUUCACACUGCCGAGAAAAGCCUCUAGAUAGAAAAUAGGUGCCCGUACCGCAAACCGACACAGGUAGUCAAGAUGAGAAUUCUAAGGUGAGCGAGCGAACUCUCGUUAAGGAACUCGGCAAAAUGACCCCGUAACUUCGGGAGAAGGGGUGCUCUUUAGGGUUAACGCCCAGAAGAGCCGCAGUGAAUAGGCCCAAGCGACUGUUUAUCAAAAACACAGGUCUCUGCUAAACCGUAAGGUGAUGUAUAGGGGCUGACGCCUGCCCGGUGCUGGAAGGUUAAGAGGAGUGGUUAGCUUCUGCGAAGCUACGAAUCGAAGCCCCAGUAAACGGCGGCCGUAACUAUAACGGUCCUAAGGUAGCGAAAUUCCUUGUCGGGUAAGUUCCGACCCGCACGAAAGGCGUAACGAUUUGGGCACUGUCUCAACGAGAGACUCGGUGAAAUCAUAGUACCUGUGAAGAUGCAGGUUACCCGCGACAGGACGGAAAGACCCCGUGGAGCUUUACUGUAGCCUGAUAUUGAAAUUCGGCACAGCUUGUACAGGAUAGGUAGGAGCCUUUGAAACGUGAGCGCUAGCUUACGUGGAGGCGCUGGUGGGAUACUACCCUAGCUGUGUUGGCUUUCUAACCCGCACCACUUAUCGUGGUGGGAGACAGUGUCAGGCGGGCAGUUUGACUGGGGCGGUCGCCUCCUAAAAGGUAACGGAGGCGCUCAAAGGUUCCCUCAGAAUGGUUGGAAAUCAUUCAUAGAGUGUAAAGGCAUAAGGGAGCUUGACUGCGAGACCUACAAGUCGAGCAGGGUCGAAAGACGGACUUAGUGAUCCGGUGGUUCCGCAUGGAAGGGCCAUCGCUCAACGGAUAAAAGCUACCCCGGGGAUAACAGGCUUAUCUCCCCCAAGAGUUCACAUCGACGGGGAGGUUUGGCACCUCGAUGUCGGCUCAUCGCAUCCUGGGGCUGUAGUCGGUCCCAAGGGUUGGGCUGUUCGCCCAUUAAAGCGGUACGCGAGCUGGGUUCAGAACGUCGUGAGACAGUUCGGUCCCUAUCCGUCGUGGGCGUAGGAAAUUUGAGAGGAGCUGUCCUUAGUACGAGAGGACCGGGAUGGACAUACCUCUGGUGUACCAGUUGUCGUGCCAACGGCAUAGCUGGGUAGCUAUGUGUGGACGGGAUAAGUGCUGAAAGCAUCUAAGCAUGAAGCCCCCCUCAAGAUGAGAUUUCCCAACUUCGGUUAUAAGAUCCCUCAAAGAUGAUGAGGUUAAUAGGUUCGAGGUGGAAGCAUGGUGACAUGUGGAGCUGACGAAUACUAAUCGAUCGAAGACUUAAUCAA
rnacentral:rRNA from 1 species